rnacentral:rRNA from 1 species
UACAGAGGUCCCGAGCGUUGUUCGGAUUCAUUGGGCGUAAAGGGUGCGUAGGCGGUCUGCUAAGUUUGAUGUGAAAUCCCGGGGCUCAACCCUGGAAUGGCAUUGAAUACUGGCGGACUAGAGUACCGGAGAGGAAACUGGAAUUUACGGUGUAGCAGUGAAAUGCGUAGAGAUCGUAAGGAAGACCAGUGGCGAAGGCGGCUCACUGGCCCGAUACUGACGCUGAGGUGCGAAAGCGUGGGGAGCGAACCGG